GCUUGUAGAUUCGCCCGGACCAGGAAGCGGAUCGCGUGGACUGGAAGUCACACUGCGGCGGUGAGUUUUGCUCUGUGUUGUAUUGAGGCUGUGCCUCCAGGUCCCCGGCAAUUCUGUACCUGGGAUGUGGGGUCUCCACAGACCUGGAAAUUCUCGCCCUUCUUCCUUCAACAAGAGCAAAUGGAGACAUUCCCCUAGGAGUCCGGAAGUCACUUCCUUUUGGGUUUAAAGUCGCCCUGAGGCUGCCCUGUCCUCGGUCUUUUUGCUAUAGGGCAAUGUAUACAGUUUGUAUCGCGUAGUUUUCCCGUUCACAACCGUUUGUUGACUCCUCCCACCCCGCGCUUUUUAAAGUCCUCACCCGAGAGGUGGAUCCCUGCUCUGGCGCUUCCCAGCCUCACCCUCGUCGGCCCCUGGAGCCCAGCGCUGACACCACAGUCCCAGGGAGGCCGCGUUCUCUGCCCGGUGGUGGGAUCCUGCGGACCCCACCCUUGUCCGAAGGCGUCAUCUCCCCCCCACCUCCCUCCUCAUGCCGGGCCCUGUUGCUCCCCAAGUCUCCCCUCCGCAGUCACCGCUUUCCCUGAGCCCGCGUUGGGGAGGUACCCGGGGCCUGUCCUGUGACACGGGGUGUUCUUGCCUGCCCAGCUCCAGCCCCUGGAAAAUGCGCUUCUCUGGGAUGCAGGCGUCUUACUCCAAACCCUCCUGUGAUUGUGUGGGCCAAAGGGAUCAGGAGACAGAGAGAGGGAAUCAGAGAGCAGUAGAAAACCUGAGACAGAUAAAAGAAGAAGGAGAAAGACCCAUAACAGAUGGCAAAGUAGGGGAUGGUCAGGGAUUUGCCAAGAGACAGCAAAAGUGAAAAAACAAAAGAUAACAAAGCAGGAGGAGAAAAGCAACUGGAGAAAUGUAGAGAAAAGCUGGAUGUACAGAGAGAUGAAGGACAGACAGCAAGGUAGGGAGAGGGGCAGAAAUGUGGAGGCUCAUCAGAGUGAGGGAGAGGAGGAGGGAUGUGGAGCCGGGUC
rnacentral:lncRNA from 1 species